UACGAGGGGUGCAAGCGUUAAUCGGAAUUACUGGGCGUAAAGGGUGCGUAGGCGGUUGUUUAAGUCUGUCGUGAAAUCCCCGGGCUCAACCUGGGAAUGGCGAUGGAUACUGGGCAGCUAGAGUGUGUCAGAGGAUGGUGGAAUUCCCGGUGUAGCGGUGAAAUGCGUAGAGAUCGGGAGGAACAUCAGUGGCGAAGGCGGCCAUCUGGGACAACACUGACGCUGAAGCACGAAAGCGUGGGGAGCAAACAGG
rnacentral:rRNA from 1 species